rnacentral:rRNA from 1 species
AUGGUCAAGAAGCACUGGACGUCCAUUACCGCGCACCAGGAUUGUGAUAUUUGCCCUGCUUGUGAAUCUAUUGAUCAUAUUGUCAUCCGCUGUUCUCCAUCUUUGAUACUAUGGGACUCGCUGCACAUGACAAAUCUUGCCAACUGUUCCACGGAUCUCAUCAGCUUCAUGCAGGAGGCGUUGCAUGCCUGGCCUCCCUCUACCAGAUUUUCGUUGAUGUUUGCUGCGGCUGCUGUCACACUCUGGCACGCAAGGAAUGAUCGUCUUUUCAACAACAAGCAAUGGUAUCCUACCUACAUCAAACUAUAUGUUGUGCAGUUGCUAACUCUGGAAAAAUAG